UUUCCGGUUGAUCCCGCCAGAGGUUACUGCUAUCGAGGUUCGACUAAGCCAUGCGAGUCGAAUGUAGCAAUACAUGGCGUACUGCUCAGUAACACGUGGACAACCUGCCCUUAGGACGGGUAUAAACCCGGGAAACUGGGUAUAAUUCCCGAUAGGUCUCGUCUGCUGGAAUGCAUCGAGAUCCAAAGCUCCGGCGCCUAAGGAUGGGUCUGCGGCCUAUCAGGUAGUAGUGGGUGUAGCGUACCUGCUAGCCUACAACGGGUACGGGUUGUGAGAGCAAGAGCCCGGAGAUGGAUUCUGAGACACUAAUCCAGGCCCUACGGGGUGCAGCAGGCGCGAAAACUUUACAAUGCUGGGAACAGCGAUAAGGGAACCUCGAGUGCCAGGUUACAAAUCUGGCUGUCGUGAUGCCUAAAAAGCAUUAUAUAGCAAGGGCCGGGCAAGACCGGUGCCAGCCGCCGCGGUAAUACCGGCGGCUCGAGUGGUGGCCACUUUUAUUGGGCUUAAAGCGUUCGUAGCUGGGUUGUUAAGUCUCUUGGGAAAUCUGGCGGCUUAACCGUCAGGCGUCUAAGGGAUACUGGCAAUCUUGGAACCGGGAGAGGUGAGGGGUACUUCGGGGGUAGGAGUGAAAUCCUGUAAUCCUCGAGGGACCACCUGUGGCGAAGGCGCCUCACCAGAACGGCUUCGACAGUGGGGGACGAAAGCUGGGGGAGCAAACCGGAUUAGAUACCCGGGUAGUCCCAGCCGUAAACUAUGCGCGUUAGGUGUAUCGGUGACCACGAGUUACCGAGGUGCCGAAGGGAAACCGUGAAACGUGCCGCCUGGGAAGUACGGUCGCAAGGCUGAAACUUAAAGGAAUUGGCGGGAA
rnacentral:rRNA from 1 species